UGAGGAAUAUUGGUCAAUGGGCGAGAGCCUGAACCAGCCAAGUAGCGUGAGGGAAGACUGCCCUAUGGGUUGUAAACCUCUUUUGAUUGGGAACAAAGAGCGCCACGUGUGGUGCGUUGCGUGUACCUUUCGAAUAAGCAUCGGCUAAUUCCGUGCCAGCAGCCGCGGUAAUACGGAAGAUGCGAGCGUUAUCCGGAUUUAUUGGGUUUAAAGGGAGCGUAGGCGGGCUGUUAAGUCAGCGGUCAAAUGUCAGGGCCCAACCUUGGCAUGCCGUUGAUACUGGCGGCCUUGAGUUCACACAAGGAAGGUGGAAUUCGUCGUGUAGCGGUGAAAUGCUUAGAUAUGACGAAGAACUCCGAUUGCGAAGGCAGCCUUCUGGGGUGUUACUGACGCUGAGGCUCGAAAGUGCGGGAAUCAAACAGG
rnacentral:rRNA from 1 species